rnacentral:rRNA from 1 species
CCACAUAAGCAGGUGAAACUUCUUAGAGGAACUGGCGCCCGAAAAGGCGCACGAGAAAGAGCAAUAACAGGUCUGUGAUGCCCUAAGAUGUCCGGGGCCGCACGCGUGCUACAAUGACGAUGCUACUGAGCAUGAUUAACUUGUCCGAAAGGAUUGGUGAAACUGUUCAAUCAUCGUCGUGACUGGGAUUGGGGUUUGCAAUUAUCCCCCAUGAACCAGGAAUUCCUAGUAAGCACAAGUCAUAAGCUUGUGCUGAUUACGUCCCUGCCCUUUGUACACACCGCCCGUCGCUACUACCGAUUGAAUGGUUUAGCAAGGACAUUGGAUUGAGCCCUUGCGGUUUCGGCUGCUUGGGUUUGAGAAGAUGUCCGAACUUGAUCAUUUAGAGGAAGUAAAAGUCGUAACAAGGUUUCCGUAGGUGAACCUGCGGAAGGAUCAUUA